UUAUGUACAUGCCUACAAUGUUAAUGCACUAGAUCCCAUUAUGAAUUUGCAGUUAAACAUGCUUAGGCUAGAGUAGUAUCAGGAUGGGUGACCUCCCAGGAAGUCGUAACGUUUUACAUGCC
rnacentral:rRNA from 1 species